rnacentral:tRNA from 1 species
GGGCGGUUAGCUCAGUUGGGAGAGCGACGGUUUUGCAAUCCGUAGGUCAGCGGUUCGAUCCCGCUACUGUCCA